rnacentral:tRNA from 1 species
GAGGGUAUAGCUCAAGUGGUAGAGUGCAUGCUUAGCAUGCAUGAGGUCCUGGGUUCAAUCUCCAGCACCUUCA